rnacentral:rRNA from 1 species
UGGGGAAUAUUGCACAAUGGGCGCAAGCCUGAUGCAGCCAUGCCGCGUGUGUGAAGAAGGCCUUCGGGUUGUAAAGCACUUUCAGCGAGGAGGAAGGUGGUGAACUUAAUACGUUCAUCAAUUGACGUUACUCGCAGAAGAAGCACCGGCUAACUCCGUGCCAGCAGCCGCGGUAAUACGGAGGGUGCAAGCGUUAAUCGGAAUUACUGGGCGUAAAGCGCACGCAGGCGGUUUGUUAAGUCAGAUGUGAAAUCCCCGGGCUCAACCUGGGAACUGCAUUUGAAACUGGCAAGCUAGAGUCUCGUAGAGGGGGGUAGAAUUCCAGGUGUAGCGGUGAAAUGCGUAGAGAUCUGGAGGAAUACCGGUGGCGAAGGCGGCCCCCUGGACGAAGACUGACGCUCAGGUGCGAAAAGCGUGGGGAGCAAAACAGGAUUAGAUACCCUGGUAGUCCACGCUGUAAAACGAUGUCGAUUUGGAGGUUGUGCCCUUGAGGCGUGG